UACAGAGGGUGCGAGCGUUGUCCGGAAUCACUGGGCGUAAAGGGCGCGUAGGCGGCUUGAUAAGCGUGCGGUGAAAGCCCGGGGCUUAACCCCGGGUCGGCAGUGGAUACGGGCAGGCUAGAGGUAGGUAGGGGAGAAUGGAAUUCCUGGUGUAGCGGUGAAAUGCGCAGAUAUCAGGAGGAACACCGGUGGCGAAGGCGGGUCUCUGGGCCGAUACUGACGCUGAGGAGCGAAAGCGUGGGGAGCGAACAGG
rnacentral:rRNA from 1 species